GGUGGUAAAGUUCAGUGGUAGAGCACAUGUUUAGCAUGCAUGAGGUCCUGGGUUCAAUCCCCAGUACCCCCA
rnacentral:tRNA from 1 species